rnacentral:sRNA from 1 species
CACCGCCUGGGGAGUACGACCGCAAGGUUAAAACUCAAAUGAAUUGACGGGGACCCGCACAAGUAGUGGAGCAUGUGGUUUAAUUCGAAGAUACGCGCAGAACCUUACCAACACUUGACAUGUUCGUCGCGACUUUAAGAGAUUAAAGUUUUCGGUUCGGCCGGACGAAACACAGGUGCUGCAUGGCUGUCGUCAGCUCGUGUCGUGAGAUGUUGGGUUAAGUCCCGCAACGAGCGCAACCCUCACUUUUAGUUGCCAUCAUUUAGUUGGACACUCUGGAAGAACUGCCAGUGAUAAGCUGGAGGAAGGUGGGGAUGACGUCAAGUCCUCAUGGCCCUUAUGUGUUGGGCUACACACGUGCUACAAUGGUAUCUACAACAGGAAGCAAGAUGGCAACAUUUAGCAAAUCCUAAAAAGAUAUCUCAGUUCGGAUUGCACUCUGCAACUCGAGUGCAUGAAGCUGGAAUUACUAGUAAUCGUGGAUCAGCGUGCCACGGUGAAUACGUUCCCGGGUCUUGUACACACCGCCCGUCACACCAUGGGAGUUGGUUCUACCUUAAGGCAAAGUUUAAAACCUUUGACCACGGUAUAGUCAGCGACUGGGGUGAAGUCGUAACAAGGUAGCCGUAGGGGAACCUGCGGCUGGAUUACCUCCUUUCUAAGGAUGAAUAAAAGUAAAAUUUUAUUCUAAAUAAUAUACAGGCAAUGUUGACCGUCCUCAUUUCUCUUCUUAAAGUAGUGUUUCUCUUGCAUGUGGGCCGGUAGCUCAGUUGGUUAGAGCACACCCUUGAUAAGGGUGGGGUCGAAAGUUCGAGUCUUUCUCGGCCCACCAAAUUAAGUGGGGGAUUAGCUCAGCUGGGAGAGCGCCUGAUUUGCAUUCAGGAGGUCAGCGGUUCGAUCCCGCUAUCCUCCACCAGAAGCACUUAGUUAUUAAAAUUGUGAAUAAAAAUAAUUAUUAUCAAUAUCUAUAUCCGAACAUUAAUUUUUUAAUUAAUGUUCAAACAAAAAUUUGAUUCAACACAGAAUUUUUUUCUG